AUGUCAUUUCAUUGUCCCUCUCCAGGUGAACCACGAGCUCCGGUCUGCGGAGGAACAGUCACAGUACACGAGGUUAACGAACGCAACCUGUUCCGUUCACUGCUGCUGCGCUGCAGGCUGGCGUUCCGGCGACACCUAGCGCGCACCGAGGGAACUACACACGACCGGGUGAGAUUCAUGGCGAGGCGGAUCUCAUAUCCCAGUGAAUGUGGAUGUUCUGUACACAGAAGCUCGGAACUUAAUGAAGGUGCCUGUGAGGAAAGCUGGCUCCAUCACUCUCCCCAGUUCCAAUCCCCCAGGGAUACACAAACCCAAUGAAGAGAACAUGCCCAGCGGGGCUGUAUAUUGGGAUUUGAAUCAUUAUUUUGUACAAGGCAACUGUAAAAACACAGAUCAGAUUUAUAUCUGUGUUCGUGCACCCUGUGGGUCUUCACGCUGCUCAUAAAAACACAAAGGGCUCCUGCUAGUGUGCAGCAGAGAUCAAUGGGGGCUCUGAUUAUAAAGGGACAGCGGCAAUGGCAGCUUGUGCCAUCCCACAUAUGGCUGAUUCUCUCAUUAAUACAGAACAUUACGAAUGUGUAUGCAUCAAUUAUGAAUGCAGUGGUGAUGUUGAGCAACUCCUUAUUGCGAGUCAGCGGAGGAAUUGUGCAGCGUGUGUCUUGAACAUGCAGCUCCAUUAACCCCGCAGAGCUCACAAAAGGGACACAACAGAGGAACUUCACUGGAGCCAACGGAGGAUGCAGCAACACUGCCGCCGGUUACGAUGGCAACAGCGAUACCUGAAACAUGGGUGGAGUGGUUAGCUCAUAUACGGUACAGUAUGUACUGAAUUACAUCGCAAGAUGCUGCUCGUUUGUUUUUCUCCCAUUGUCUUGAUAAGAAUAAUAAUGGUAAUAUGAAUAACAACAAUGAAAGAAAGAAUCCAGGUCGGUGAAGUGUUUCACUCUGCCAGAUAUUCUGCUACAGAGAUCUGCAAGAGACCUGUACACACACAACACAGCAUGCAGCAGGACUUCAAACCGGUCCAUUGAAAUCCCGGUCAAGAAUUGUUUUCAUACAACAAGAAUCUAGAUGUGAACAAAGGGGAUAGUGUCAUUUGA
rnacentral:lncRNA from 1 species